rnacentral:lncRNA from 1 species
CCCAAAGUACGGUCCAAUAAAGACAAUCUUGUACGCUCCUUCCGCCUGUCCCUUAAUUUAUCUGUUUUCUCUUGUCUCUGCGUAGACGCUAUAAUUAUUUGUACCAAAUCACAAAUAUGUUUUUUACUCUCCUGUUUUUCAUUUUUAAGUGAAUAAUGGAAGGACUUGUCGGCACAUAUUUUAAGACCAUUAACUGCAUCAUUUUAAAAUUGCUUGAUUUUAAUAGAUAUGAAAUAUUAGUUGGAUGAUUUUUUGCUAUUAUCGUGAAAUUGGCAAAGAGAUUAAAGAGAUUUAUUAGAAUUAAACGUUAAGUCGACACUGCUGAUGGGGGAAGAGGCCAGGAAUGGGAGUAAAAAUAGGUCACGUCUAUAGUGGAAAGAAAAGAAGGAUUACAUCAACCUCAUGACAGCCUAUGCUCUCCUGGGAAGUGAUUGGAUCACAGCUUAUUGCGAUGUAUAUGAACGCAGAUGAAUAUAUGGGUGGUGGCCUGGUGGGGAAAUGCAAAUGCA